GAUGAACGCUGGUUGCGUGCCUAAUACAUGCAAGUCGAGCGAACGGACGAGAAGCUUGCUUCUCUGAUGUUAGCGGCGGACGGGUGAGUAACACGUGGAUAACCUACCUAUAAGACUGGGAUAACUUCGGGAAACCGGAGCUAAUACCGGAUAAUAUUUUGAACCGCAUGGUUCAAAAGUGAAAGACGGUCUUGCUGUCACUUAUAGAUGGAUCCGCGCUGCAUUAGCUAGUUGGUAAGGUAACGGCUUACCAAGGCAACGAUGCAUAGCCGACCUGAGAGGGUGAUCGGCCACACUGGAACUGAGACACGGUCCAGACUCCUACGGGAGGCAGCAGUAGGGAAUCUUCCGCAAUGGGCGAAAGCCUGACGGAGCAACGCCGCGUGAGUGAUGAAGGUCUUCGGAUCGUAAAACUCUGUUAUUAGGGAAGAACAUAUGUGUAAGUAACUGUGCACAUCUUGACGGUACCUAAUCAGAAAGCCACGGCUAACUACGUGCCAGCAGCCGCGGUAAUACGUAGGUGGCAAGCGUUAUCCGGAAUUAUUGGGCGUAAAGCGCGCGUAGGCGGUUUUUUAAGUCUGAUGUGAAAGCCCACGGCUCAACCGUGGAGGGUCAUUGGAAACUGGAAAACUUGAGUGCAGAAGAGGAAAGUGGAAUUCCAUGUGUAGCGGUGAAAUGCGCAGAGAUAUGGAGGAACACCAGUGGCGAAGGCGACUUUCUGGUCUGUAACUGACGCUGAUGUGCGAAAGCGUGGGGAUCAAACAGGAUUAGAUACCCUGGUAGUCCACGCCGUAAACGAUGAGUGCUAAGUGUUAGGGGGUUUCCGCCCCUUAGUGCUGCAGCUAACGCAUUAAGCACUCCGCCUGGGGAGUACGACCGCAAGGUUGAAACUCAAAGGAAUUGACGGGGACCCGCACAAGCGGUGGAGCAUGUGGUUUAAUUCGAAGCAACGCGAAGAACCUUACCAAAUCUUGACAUCCUUUGACAACUCUAGAGAUAGAGCCUUCCCCUUCGGGGGACAAAGUGACAGGUGGUGCAUGGGUGUCGUCAGCUCGUGUCGUGAGAUGUUGGGUUAAGUCCCGCAACGAGCGCAACCCUUAAGCUUAGUUGCCAUCAUUAAGUUGGGCACUCUAAGUUGACUGCCGGUGACAAACCGGAGGAAGGUGGGGAUGACGUCAAAUCAUCAUGCCCCUUAUGAUUUGGGCUACACACGUGCUACAAUGGACAAUACAAAGGGCAGCGAAACCGCGAGGUCAAGCAAAUCCCAUAAAGUUGUUCUCAGUUCGGAUUGUAGUCUGCAACUCGACUGCAUGAAGCUGGAAUCGCUAGUAAUCGUAGAUCAGCAUGCUACGGUGAAUACGUUCCCGGGUCU
rnacentral:rRNA from 1 species